rnacentral:sRNA from 1 species
UUGGGAAAUAAAAUUGAACUUCUUGAA